GCUUAACACAUGCAAGUCGAACGGUAACAGGAAUUAGCUUGCUAAUUUGCUGACGAGUGGCGGACGGGUGAGUAAUGCUUGGGAAUCUGGCUUAUGGAGGGGGAUAACUACGGGAAACUGUAGCUAAUACCGCGUAAAAUCUUCGGAUUAAAGGGUGGGACUUUCGAGCCACCUGCCAUAAGAUGAGCCCAAGUGGGAUUAGGUAGUUGGUUAGGUAAAGGCUGACCAAGCCGACGAUCUCUAGCUGGUCUGAGAGGAUGACCAGCCACACUGGAACUGAGACACGGUCCAGACUCCUACGGGAGGCAGCAGUGGGGAAUAUUGCACAAUGGGGGGAACCCUGAUGCAGCCAUGCCGCGUGAAUGAAGAAGGCCUUCGGGUUGUAAAGUUCUUUCGGUGACGAGGAAGGUUGAUAGGUUAAUAGCCUAUCAAAUUGACGUUAAUCACAGAAGAAGCACCGGCUAACUCCGUGCCAGCAGCCGCGGUAAUACGGGGGGUGCGAGCGUUAAUCGGAAUAACUGGGCGUAAAGGGCACGCAGGCGGUGACUUAA
rnacentral:rRNA from 1 species